rnacentral:rRNA from 1 species
CACUCCUACGGGAGGCAGCAGUGGGGAAUAUUGGACAAUGGGCGCAAGCCUGAUCCAGCCAUGCCGCGUGAGUGAUGAAGGCCCUAGGAUUGUAAAGCUCUUUCACCGGUGAAGAUAAUGACGGUAACCGGAGAAGAAGCCCCGGCUAACUUCGUGCCAGCAGCCGCGGUAAUACGAAGGGGGCUAGCGUUGUUCGGAUUUACUGGGCGUAAAGCGCACGUAGGCGGACUAUUAAGUCAGGGGUGAAAUCCCGGGGCUCAACCCCGGAACUGCCUUUGAUACUGGUAGUCUUGAGUUCGAGAGAGGUGAGUGGAAUUCCGAGUGUAGAGGUGAAAUUCGUAGAUAUUCGGAGGAACACCAGUGGCGAAGGCGGCUCACUGGCUCGAUACUGACGCUGAGGUGCGAAAGCGUGGGGAGCAAACAGGAUUAGAAACCCCUGUAGUCCCA